rnacentral:rRNA from 1 species
CUGACGAGUGGCGGACGGGUGAGUAAUGUCUGGGAAACUGCCUGAUGGAGGGGGAUAACUACUGGAAACGGUAGCUAAUACCGCAUAACGUCGCAAGACCAAAGAGGGGGACCUUCGGGCCUCUUGCCAUCGGAUGUGCCCAGAUGGGAUUAGCUUGUUGGUGGGGUAACGGCUCACCAAGGCGACGAUCCCUAGCUGGUCUGAGAGGAUGACCAGCCACACUGGAACUGAGACACGGUCCAGACUCCUACGGGAGGCAGCAGUGGGGAAUAUUGCACAAUGGGCGCAAGCCUGAUGCAGCCAUGCCGCGUGUAUGAAGAAGGCCUUCGGGUUGUAAAGUACUUUCAGCGGGGAGGAAGGGAGUAAAGUUAAUACCUUUGCUCAUUGACGCUACCCGCAGAAGAAGCACCGGCUAACUCCGUGCCAGCAGCCGCGGUAAUACGGAGGGUGCAAGCGUUAAUCGGAAUUACUGGGCGUAAAGCGCACGCAGGCGGUUUGUUAAGUCAGAUGUGAAAUCCCCGGGCUCAACCUGGGAACUGCAUCUGAUACUGGCAAGCUUGAGUCUCGUAGAGGGGGGUAGAAUUCCAGGUGUAGCGG